rnacentral:misc_RNA from 1 species
GGGUGAUAAGCUGCGUGAAUAGCUGCUCCUCCUCGAGCUUCUUCUCACCCUGGGUGAUAAGCUGCGGGAGAGGGAACGGCCAGUGCUUCUGUAAUGUCUCGAGGGUGGAGUAUACGACCGUGAGUCACGGGAGUAGGAUCUAUGUCGAUGCCUGCUGUCAUGUCCGUAGCGGGAUUGCCUGUAAUAAGGAGACCAAGACCUGUCACUCUCAGAGGAGUAGCGGCCGUUUCUGCGAUAUGGAGAGUAGCUUGGAGAACGGCGCCGACCACGGGCAGUUUUCAGACCAAGAUAUCUCCCUGGGGUCGGGGUUCGUCCACGUCGCCUCCUUGCCUUUUCGACAGUUAUGAC